CGAGCGGACAGAUGGGAGCUUGCUCCCUGAUGUUAGCGGCGGACGGGUGAGUAACACGUGGGUAACCUGCCUGUAAGACUGGGAUAACUCCGGGAAACCGGGGCUAAUACCGGAUGCUUGAUUGAACCGCAUGGUUCAAUUAUAAAAGGUGGCUUUUAGCUACCACUUACAGAUGGACCCGCGGCGCAUUAGCUAGUUGGUGAGGUAACGGCUCACCAAGGCAACGAUGCGUAGCCGACCUGAGAGGGUGAUCGGCCACACUGGGACUGAGACACGGCCCAGACUCCUACGGGAGGCAGCAGUAGGGAAUCUUCCGCAAUGGACGAAAGUCUGACGGAGCAACGCCGCGUGAGUGAUGAAGGUUUUCGGAUCGUAAAACUCUGUUGUUAGGGAAGAACAAGUACCGUUCGAAUAGGGCGGUACCUUGACGGUACCUAACCAGAAAGCCACGGCUAACUACGUGCCAGCAGCCGCGGUAAUACGUAGGUGGCAAGCGUUGUCCGGAAUUAUUGGGCGUAAAGCGCGCGCAGGCGGUUUCUUAAGUCUGAUGUGAAAGCCCCCGGCUCAACCGGGGAGGGUCAUUGGAAACUGGGGAACUUGAGUGCAGAAGAGGAGAGUGGAAUUCCACGUGUAGCGGUGAAAUGCGUAGAGAUGUGGAGGAACACCAGUGGCGAAGGCGACUCUCUGGUCUGUAACUGACGCUGAGGCGCGAAAGCGUGGGGAGCGAACAGGAUUAGAUACCCUGGUAGUCCACGCCGUAAACGAUGAGUGCUAAGUGUUAGAGGGUUUCCGCCCUUUAGUGCUGCAGCAAACGCAUUAAGCACUCCGCCUGGGGAGUACGGUCGCAAGACUGAAACUCAAAGGAAUUGACGGGGGG
rnacentral:rRNA from 1 species